rnacentral:rRNA from 1 species
GACGAACGCUGGCGGCGUGCUUAACACAUGCAAGUCGAACGGAACGGCCCUGUCUUUGUGCGCUCCUCGAGUUGCGAACGGGUGAGUAACCCGUGAGUAACCUGUCCUUGCCUUUGGGAUAACUUCAUGAAACUUGGGCUAUUCCCGCCUAGGAUCUCCUGCUGCAUGGUGGGGGCUGGAAAGUUUCGCCGGUUGGGGAUGGACUCGCGGCCUAUCAGCUUGUUGGUGGGGUAGUGGCUUACCAAGGCUAUGACGGGUAGCCGGCCUGGGAGGGGGACCGGCCAAGUUGGAACUGAGAUAAGGCCCAGACUCGAACGGGAGGCAGGAGUGGAGAGGGGUACACAAGAGGCGGGAGGCUGAUGCGGCAACGCCGCGUGCGGGAAGACGGCCUUCGGGUUGGAAACCGAUUUCGCCUGAGACGGGACGUGAAUGACGGUAAUGGGUAAAGAAGCACCGGCUAACUACGUG